UCUUGGGUUGAUGACUGUGGUUUUGGCAGGAGUAUAGCCCUUCCAUCUCUUGUUCAUCUUAUAUGUUUUUGCAGCCUCCUAACUGCUCCAUGGGAGUGCUCACUGGCCCAUACUACAUCCUCUAGUUGUGGAGCCUGUUGUUCCAAACUAAAUGUAAAAUUUUGCAUUAGUGUCUUACCUAAUGUGUUUGCAGACCUGCCAAUUUAACACACAUCCUAUAUUUAGUCAUCUUGGUCAUAAAUGAAACACUGAGAGGAUACAUUUCUGUGGAGGGUUGGAUUGCAUGGGAUUGUACUCUGACAGUGUAUGUUUUCUGAAUGUAUAGACUCUCUAGAUACUUUUUUUCAGGCUAUUUCAGUUGCCAUCCUCUAGUUUCCAUAGACUGUGCUUCCUAGGUUGCUUAUGAGUAUGUUAUAAGAGAUAAGGUCAGAAAUCUUGCUAAAGUCAAGAUGUAUAAUAUCUACUGCAGUUUCUCAUUAAAUACAAGCAUUUUCACCUGCCAAGGAAGUAAACUAGAUUAGUAUUCCAUCAUUUGUUUUUGAUGGAUCCUUGUUGAUUGCUUCUAGUCUUCCUUAUAUUUCUUUUAAUUGCUUAUACAUUCUUUGACGGUUAAUUUCACUGUUUCUCUAAGAGUUGAAAUUGUGUGGUCUGUAAUGUUCUCUUUCUACCUUACAGUAAAGGGAGCACUUUUUUUAUCCAUUUGCAGUCUUUUGGGUCUCCACCUAUUUCAGGAAUUCUCACAGAUAACAGCUAGGCAAUCUGAGACUGCUUCAGACAGUUCUUCAAAAGUAUCUUAGGAGAAAUUCAGUUAGACCCAGACAUUUGGAAAACACCUAGCUUACCUUUUUCCAAGUAUUCAUGGCACUUCUCCAUGAGAUCAUUUGUCCUUAUCUGUAGGUGUUUAAAUAAAUAAGCACCUUAAUUACAGCUGACCUUUUUAAUAAUGAAAUGAAAACGACAUUGAUGCAUUGAUGUUGAGAUUAAGUUCACCAACUCAGCUUUCUUUGUUUCCUGUUGUAUUAGAGCCUACCUUAUGCUGACAACAGCAUCAUACAUAAAACAAAAAGAAGAGUAAAGGACCUCCGAAACUUUCAAGACUCUCUGAACCCAUGGCACUUGAAAACCCAUCCUAUAAAGAUGGGCACCAGUGACACAGUUGGGAGAAGUCUGAGGAGUAUCAAGAAGGAUUACAGAGCCCUGGAAGCGGUGGAAGAACUGCAGCAUUGCAGGAGUUAUAGCUAGGGGAAAGGAGAACCUCUGUUGUUCCAUGUGAUGACAAACCCAGCAGCAGAACAAGGGCUAAGUGAUAAUGGGAGAAAAUUAUGAUAAAGUUUUUAUCAAUACACUUUAAGAGUCGUUCUCCAGAUGGAGCAGUAUUUGCCUGAAACAUCAUCAUCAGGAACUGAGAGAACUGAGGCCCUGACAGAAAGAACGCAUGGACAAUGACUUGGAGAGAGGCCUGAGGAGAAGCAUUGUGUUGCACUGGUUUCCCCGAUCCAGGGGGUCUACUGCUUACAAUGGCUGUUGUAUGGACUUCGCCUGCUGCCUCAGCCAAACUAGCCCCCACCUCCUAAAAGGGAUUGUUAUGCAGGUCUUUUCAACCCAGGGACAAUAGCUGCUGUCCAGAAGAUGGGUUCUCACCUGCAGCCUCAGUCACAGCUUGUCCCUCACCUCCUCCCUCAGACAAAGGCCAACGAAGAAGAGCAUUCCCAGAAGCUCGCCAAGGGUCCUGAGGUCACCCAGUGGACCAGAGAGAGACCCCUGAAUGCAGGCCACACAAGCGCAGAUGAGUCCUGGCAAGAGAUGCAAGGACUUUCUGAGCCUGCGCAGUUUAAGCCUGGGUUGCGAAACAAAGGCAAGGGCGGGGUGAAGAAGUAUAAGAGUUGACUCCCAAGUGGACACUGAGAUCUCCCCACCAAAGGAUCACAGAUCAUGACAGAGGACCAGCAGGACACUGUUUGGGACCUGGCACCAUAAGGACGCCUUUGGACUUGUGGUGGUAGCCAACCCUCUUUCCCCCUUUUCUUUUUUUUUCCCUUUUUCUCUGCUUUCUCUAUCACUUGCCACUUUACAGACAAAAUAAUAAAGUAACACUUUGAUUGAAUUAUAACCCCUUGGCAUUUUGGUUGCCUUAAUUUUGCACUUCGAGAUCAAGGUAAACGAACCAUCAUGAGUCUGUCACCGAAUGGACCAUGACAUACACUUAGUCAGAUUUGCUGGUCUGAACUUUCCCCACUUUUACUUUAGUCCCUUAAAGAGCAACUCAAAUGUCUGUGUGUCUCUAUGGAAGCCUGCUUAAGUGAGGAGUACUUUCACGUGUGAUUUCUUUCAGGACUGUCACUGGAAUAUUACCACUUACUCUUCUCAUCUUAAACCUUCUUUAUUUACAUUUUGGGUUGAGGUAAUCACUCUGACUUUUCUCCUGUAAA